rnacentral:misc_RNA from 1 species
UCUCCGUAGGUGAACCUGCGGAGGGAUCAUUACUGAGUGAGGGUUUAACCGCCCGACCUCCAACCCUUUGUGAAUCGUACUCGUUGCUUCGGGGGCGACCCUGCCUUCGUGCGAGGCGCCCCCGGAGGCUCAUCAAACACUGCAUCUCUGCGUCGGAGUCUUAAUGAAUUUAAACAAAACUUUUAACAACGGAUCUCUUGGUUCUGGCAUCGAUGAAGAACGCAGC